GAACUGGUUUGAACUGGUCUGAACUGGUCUGAACUGGUUUGAACUGGGACUCCCCCGUUCCCCUCCCCCAGCUGGUGGCUGCGGGGGCGGCGCUGGCGGCGAUGGCCAAAGGACCCUCGGCCGGACGGGCUCGCGCCGCGCUGGCGCUGGACAUCGUGGCCGCCAUCUUGUCCUUCCUGGCCCUGGGGGUGCAGGGGCUGCUCCUCCCCCACAGCUGCCCCUGGUGCUACAACCUGAGCCCGGCCGGGCAGGGGGCGCUGUUGGGCACUCAAGUGCUGCUGAUGACGUCAUCGCUGGCCGGGGCGAUCCUGGCUGUGAUUGGCUGCGUGGCGGCCACCAGGGCGCGCCCGAGGGCGGAGCCAAUGGUGAGUGACAGCAAAGGGGGCGUGGCUUAGAGCCAUUAAUGA
rnacentral:lncRNA from 1 species